rnacentral:rRNA from 1 species
AUUGAACGCUGGCGGCAGGCUUAACACAUGCAAGUCGAGCGGUAGCACAAGAGAGCUUGCUCUCUGGGUGACGAGCGGCGGACGGGUGAGUAAUGUCUGGGAAACUGCCUGAUGGAGGGGGAUAACUACUGGAAACGGUAGCUAAUACCGCAUAACGUCGCAAGACCAAAGAGGGGGACCUUCGGGCCUCUUGCCAUCAGAUGUGCCCAGAUGGGAUUAGCUAGUAGGUGGGGUAAUGGCUCACCUAGGCGACGAUCCCUAGCUGGUCUGAGAGGAUGACCAGCCACACUGGAACUGAGACACGGUCCAGACUCCUACGGGAGGCAGCAGUGGGGAAUAUUGCACAAUGGGCGCAAGCCUGAUGCAGCCAUGCCGCGUGUGUGAAGAAGGCCUUCGGGUUGUAAAGCACUUUCAGCGAGGAGGAAGGUGGUGAACUUAAUACGUUCAUCAAUUGACGUUACUCGCAGAAGAAGCACCGGCCAACUCCGUG